GUGAAUCAUCGAAUUUUUGAACGCAAAUUGCGCCUUUUUCGGAAGGCAUGUCUGUUUGAGGGCACCAUUUAACAAAUAAUGUGCAUUUCGUUUUCACACGUUGAUUAACUUUCCUUCCUUAUGUAUUAUUUUUUUUGUUGGCGCUUAUUAAACACCGCGAUGCUUUUUUUCCUUUCGAUUUUAUUAAAUUUUUUUCUUGCUUGGGUUGUGACAAUCUUGACCGCUCAAAUUGGUUUUUCGAUUCUACUC
rnacentral:misc_RNA from 1 species